rnacentral:rRNA from 1 species
GUAACCUUACCAGGUCUUGACAUCCCGAUGCUAUUUCUAGAGAUAGAAAGUUACUUCGGUACAUCGGUGACAGGUGGUGCAUGGUUGUCGUCAGCUCGUGUCGUGAGAUGUUGGGUUAAGUCCCGCAACGAGCGCAACCCCUAUUGUUAGUUGCCAUCAUUCAGUUGGGCACUCUAGCGAGACUGCCGGUAAUAAACCGGAGGAAGUGGGGAUGACGUCAAAUCAUCAUGCCCCUUAUGACCUGGGCUACACACGUGCUACAAUGGUUGGUACAACGAGUUGCGAGUCGGUGACGGCGAGCUAAUCUCUUAAAGCCAAUCUCAGUUCGGAUUGUAGGCUGCAACUCGCCUACAUGAAGUCGGAAUCGCUAGUAAUCGCGGAUCAGCACGCCGCGGUGAAUACGUUCCCGGGCCUU